rnacentral:lncRNA from 1 species
CCAACGAGGAGCAGUUCAUUGUCCCAUUUCCCCAGAGCUCCUAUAAUAACUUCUUUUGUGGUAUAUAUUACCCAGCACCACGGUGAUGCGUUUACCUGUUUAUAAGUCUCUUGCUGCCACCAGUUUGUGAAUUCUUGGAGGCAGGAAUUGUUUUCUCUACCUCUGUUUCUCUGGUGCUCAACAUAGAAGUUGGCAUGGAGUAGGGGCCCAGUGAUGGACUAAAGAAGGAAUGAGUGGACACACCUGCUGCCCUGGGAUGCUUUUUGUCCAGGUUACAAGAGCCCUGCUUCAGCCAGCUCAGGGGGAAAGUGAUCCAGAGAGAGGCCAUGUAAAGAGGUCCGUGCAAUGCAGCCUGCAGGUGAAAAGAGGCCAACCGUCACCAACUCUCUCUUUCUCUGCGGGUGAAAAGAGGCCAACUAACUGUUACCAACUCUCUCUUCUCUUUUCCUAA